rnacentral:rRNA from 1 species
CGGCAUGCCUUACACAUGCAAGUCGAACGGCAGCACGGGUGCUUGCACUGGUGGCGAGUGGCGAACGGGUGAGUAAUACAUCGGAACAUGUCCUGUAGUGGGGGAUAGCCCGGCGAAAGCCGGAUUAAUACCGCAUACGAUCUAUGGAUGAAAGCGGGGGACCUUCGGGCCUCGCGCUAUAGGGUUGGCCGAUGGCUGAUUAGCUAGUUGGUGGGGUAAAGGCCUACCAAGGCGACGAUCAGUAGCUGGUCUGAGAGGACGACCAGCCACACUGGGACUGAGACACGGCCCAGACUCCUACGGGAGGCAGCAGUGGGGAAUUUUGGACAAUGGGCGAAAGCCUGAUCCAGCAAUGCCGCGUGUGUGAAGAAGGCCUUCGGGUUGUAAAGCACUUUUGUCCGGAAAGAAAUCCUUGGCUCUAAUACAGUCGGGGGAUGACGGUACCGGAAGAAUAAGCACCGGCUAACUACGUGCCAGCAGCCGCGGUAAUACGUAGGGUGCAAGCGUUAAUCGGAAUUACUGGGCGUAAAGCGUGCGCAGGCGGUUUGCUAAGACCGAUGUGAAAUCCCCGGGCUCAACCUGGGAACUGCAUUGGUGACUGGCAGGCUAGAGUAUGGCAGAGGGGGGUAGAAUUCCACGUGUAGCAGUGAAAUGCGUAGAGAUGUGGAGGAAUACCGAUGGCGAAGGCAGCCCCCUGGGCCAAUACUGACGCUCAUGCACGAAAGCGUGGGGAGCAAACAGGAUUAGAUACCCUGGUAGUCCACGCCCUAAACGAUGUCAACUAGUUGUUGGGGAUUCAUUUCCUUAGUAACGUAGCUAACGCGUGAAGUUGACCGCCUGGGGAGUACGGUCGCAAGAUUAAAACUCAAAGGAAUUGACGGGGACCCGCACAAGCGGUGGAUGAUGUGGAUUAAUUCGAUGCAACGCGAAAAACCUUACCUACCCUUGACAUGGUCGGAAUCCUGAAGAGAUUCGGGAGUGCUCGAAAGAGAACCGGCGCACAGGUGCUG